UGUCCUCUUCCUACUGCAGGACAGAUGUAAUGGUACCUACAGCCUUCAAGGAGCCUCUGGUGCAGGAAGCAAAGAGCCUGGCAGCAGGACAAGGGGACUGUCACUUGGCUUGGAGUGGGCUGGAGUGAGGGUGAAGCAACACCUCCUUCCAGCUGGACACAGGCUGGUGAGCUGAAGGGGAAACUCUGAGAUCCCACUGCUGACACCAUGACCUCAG